GGGGAGAUAGCUCAGUGGUAAAGCACUUGCCUAGCAUGCAUGUGAGUCUGGGUUAGAUCCCCAUCACCACA
rnacentral:tRNA from 1 species